UACGGGGGGGGGCAAGCGUUGUUCGGAAUUCCUGGGCGUAAAGGGCGCGUAGGCGGCCUUCUAAGUCAGACGUGAAAUCCCUCGGCUCAACCGAGGAACUGCGUCUGAUACUGGAAGGCUUGAAUCCGGGAGAGGGAUGUGGAAUUCCAGGUGUAGCGGUGAAAUGCGUAGAUAUCGAGAGGAACACCUGCGGCGAAGGCGGAUUGCUGGGCUGACACUGACGCUGAGGCGCGAAAGCCAGGGGAGCGAACGGG
rnacentral:rRNA from 1 species